rnacentral:rRNA from 1 species
UCCUCCCUCUGGCGGCGUGCUUAACACAUGCAAGUCGAACGGAAAGGCCCUGCUUUUGUGGGGUGCUCGAGUGGCGAACGGGUGAGUAACACGUGAGUAACCUGCCCUUGACUUUGGGAUAACUUCAGGAAACUGGGGCUAAUACCGGAUAGGAGCUCCUGCUGCAUGGUGGGGGUUGGAAAGUUUCGGCGGUUGGGGAUGGACUCGCGGCUUAUCAGCUUGUUGGUGGGGUAGUGGCUUACCAAGGCUUUGACGGGUAGCCGGCCUGAGAGGGUGACCGGACACAUUGGGACUGAGAUACGGCCCAGACUCCUACGGGAGGCAGCAGUGGGGAAUAUUGCACAAUGGGCGGAAGCCUGAUGCAGCAACGCCGCGUGCGGGAUGACGGCCUUCGGGUUGUAAACCGCUUUCGCCUGUGACGAAGCGUGAGUGACGGUAAUGGGUAAAGAAGCACCGGCUAACUACGUG